GAAAUCGGUGCGUUAGAGCAGACCCUAAACAUGAUUUUAUACCUUCAAGAACCAAUUACUUAAUGUCUUUUCCGUCUAUUCCUUCCCCGACCCCCUCCCAGACUCCUUCAUUCCAGUACUGCGUGGACGGAAAGCCCCGGGUAGCCGAUACCACGUCCCCGGCUAGCGAGAGAGAGCGUAGAAAAGGAUUACAUCUAACUGUUUAAAUCCAACGGCUCCUGCUUCCUUUCUCCUGAGCUAGACCCAACAAGCCUAGAGAGUUGGGCUACGGAAAAAACUAGUGUUUUCAUUUAAUUGGAUAUGAAGAAAGAACAAAUAUGUACGGGGGCAACCACGAUCUUUAUAAAGAACAUAAGUUCCAGGAAAGCAGGAACCUUGUCUCUCUUGUUCACUGGUGUAUCUUCUGCAUAUAGAACAGUGCCUGGCACAUAAUAGGUGCUGAGUUCUGAAGAAACUGCAUUUGAGAGACCUACCCCAGGACUGGGUAAUUCAAUAGACCUCAAGAGGACAGAGCCAGGUACCAACUGAGGAAAUCACAGAGUUGCAGGUUCAGCCACCAUCACUCCUGGACAAAGCUUCUGCCCAGAGUGGAGUCCACUGGUGAAUCAGCAAGCCUAAGAAACAUUAUAUUCUCAUUUGCAUUAAAGUCCAC